CUUCUAUUUCCUCUGUUUCAAAUUACUUGUCGCAGAAAUGGAUGUAUCUAGAACUAAAAUACAUUUAGAUACAUCCAUACCUGCGAUAAAUAAUUUGAAAUGGAAGGAAUAGAUG
rfam:Triticum aestivum genome assembly, contig: Triticum_aestivum_CS42_TGACv1_scaffold_556002_7AL